GAGAGAGACAUGCGCGCAUAUCAAUAAGCGGAGGAAAAGAAACUAACAAGGAUUCCCCUAGUAACGGCGAGUGAAGCGGGAAGAGCUCAAAUUUGAAAUCUUCAAGGUUUUACCUUGACGAAUUGUAGUUUAAAGAAGUGUUUUCGGUUAGAGGAGUAGUAAAAGUUCUUUGGAGUAGGACAUCAUAGAGGGUGAGAAUCCCGUAUUUGACUAUUCUUUCUAGCUUUGUGAUACACUUUCAAAGAGUCGGAUUGUUUGGGAAUGCAGUCCAAAAUGGGUGGUAAAUUUCAUCUAAAGCUAAAUAUUGGCGAGAGACCGAUAGCGAACAAGUACCGUGAGGGAAAGAUGAAAAGAACUUUGAAAAGAGAGUUAAACAGUACGUGAAAUUGUCAAAAGGGAAGCGUUUGACACCAGUGUUGUUUUCCCGAAAAUCAAUUAAAAAAGGCCGGAUUUUGUGUUGUAUUGACCUUAAAAGCUUUCUUCACUCUUUUCUUGUCUUUUUUAAUGCACUUUUCGUUUAACAAGUCAACAUCAGUUUCUUUUGUUGUAAAAGGGUCAUUGGAAGGUGGCUUUCUUUUCGGAGAAAGUGUUUAUAGCCUUUGAUCUCUGCAACCGGAGAGACUGAGGUCUGCAGCGUAGACUCUUCGGGGUUAGAUACAUUUGUGCUAAGCUAUAGCUUUUUAUAGACAACUUGUUGACUAUAUUUAGUCUUGUGGCUUACUCGCUUAUGCUAUUUUACCUACGCUUAGGAUGUUGACAGCAGUAUAGACUGU
rnacentral:rRNA from 1 species